GCAAAUGAUAUAUUACUGGAAAUGAAGUCCGCGCGUGUCUAUAAAUGGAUCAUUACUUUCAUGAAUCAGAAUUACUGUGAUGUGAUCUAAAAAACAUACACUUGCAAUGAAUUUCUUUUUCAUGUAUUGAAACAAUGAGCAUUGAAAGUGAAAAUCCAGAAUUGUAGUCUAUUUGUGGAGCUGCAACUUAAUAAUUAAUAUUAACCAAGUCUUCUUGGUUACCUAAUGUAUCUAACUGGGCUUUUGUUGUCCUUCUGAUGAGACACUUUUGUAAAUUACUAGAUUUUACAUGUGUAUUAUGAAUGGAG
rnacentral:misc_RNA from 1 species